CUGCCGGUGAUAAACCGGAGGAAGGUGGGGACGACGUCAAGUCAUCAUGGCCCUUACGAGUAGGGCUACACACGUGCUACAAUGGCGCAUACAGAGGGCAGCCAACUUGCGAAAGUGAGCGAAUCCCAAAAAGUGCGUCGUAGUCCGGAUUGGAGUCUGCAACUCGACUCCAUGAAGUCGGAAUCGCUAGUAAUCGUGGAUCAGAAUGCCACGGUGAAUACGUUCCCGGGCCUUGUACACACCGCCCGUCACACCAUGGGAGUGGGCUGCAAAAGAAGUAGGUAGUUUAACCUUCGGGGGGACGCUUACCACUUUGUGGUUCAUGACUGGGGUGAAGUCGUAACAAGGUAGCGCUAGGGGAACCUGGCGCUGGAUCACCUCCUUAAACGAUGAU
rnacentral:rRNA from 1 species